rnacentral:lncRNA from 1 species
AUACAAUUUAAAUUUUCUUAAAUUUAUUGAGGCGGUAUCUUGAUGCUCAUUGAUCCUGAGACCAUCUGUUGCAGUGAAAACAUGUGUGGGGUUCCAGUCUUGGCUCUGCCAGCCAAAUUUCCAUGAGGCCCUUUUCUCCUGGUUCCUUAUCUGGGGAUUGAACCAGAUGAUCUUGUCUGUCCUCUCUGGUCUCACAUUUGGGGAUUCCAUUGAUCAUCUCCUAGUGGGACUAUGGCCUCAGAGAAGCUUAGGUUAUGCACAUUUAGGAAAUCCCAGUAGAGCUUUGGUCAGAAAGAAAAGAUGGGUGAAAGGUGGAGUCCUGAAACCCUCCUGUUCCUCCCCAUACAACUGUUUAAGGAGACCAUAUCUAUUUCAUCCUCCUCUUGUGCUUUUAAUGGCAUUCAAAGCCCUUCUCUAUCUGGCCCAGUUGACAUCACUGACCUCAAUCUCUCUACUCCCCCACUGUAGCUACUUUGUGCUCCAGCCAUUCCGAGUGACCUGUGGGUUCCCUAAAAGCAUUGUGCACUUUCAUUUUUCUGGGAUUUUCCACAUGCUCUUCUGUCAGGCUAAGGUGGCUCCAGCUCCUUCUCCCC